GGCGCUGGUGGCCGUCGGCGCGGCGGGGGUGCUGGGGCUGCUGCUCGUGGUGGUCUCCGCGAUCCUCGGCGUGAUCGCCGCCCGCCGGCGCCGC
rnacentral:tRNA from 1 species